rnacentral:rRNA from 1 species
AGAUUAAACUGAAGAGUUUGAUCCUGGCUCAGAUUGAACGCUGGCGGCAUGCUUUACACAUGCAAGUCGAACGGUAACAGGGAGCUUGCUCCGCUGACGAGUGGCGAACGGGUGAGUAAUAUAUCGGAACGUGCCCAAGAGUGGGGGAUAACGUAGCGAAAGUUACGCUAAUACCGCAUACGAUCUAUGGAUGAAAGUGGGGGAUCGCAAGACCUCAUGCUCCUGGAGCGGCCGAUAUCUGAUUAGCUAGUUGGUGAGGUAAAGGCUCACCAAGGCGACGAUCAGUAGCUGGUCUGAGAGGACGACCAGCCACACUGGAACUGAGACACGGUCCAGACUCCUACGGGAGGCAGCAGUGGGGAAUUUUGGACAAUGGGGGCAACCCUGAUCCAGCAAUGCCGCGUGAGUGAAGAAGGCCUUCGGGUUGUAAAGCUCUUUUGUCAGGGAAGAAAAGGGUACGGCUAAUAUCCGUGCCUCAUGACGGUACCUGAAGAAUAAGCACCGGCUAACUACGUGCCAGCAGCCGCGGUAAUACGUAGGGUGCAAGCGUUAAUCGGAAUUACUGGGCGUAAAGCGUGCGCAGGCGGUUUUGUAAGUCUGUUGUGAAAUCCCCGGGCUUAACCUGGGAAUGGCAAUGGAGACUGCAAGGCUAGAGUUUGGCAGAGGGGGGUAGAAUUCCACGUGUAGCAGUGAAAUGCGUAGAGAUGUGGAGGAACACCGAUGGCGAAGGCAGCCCCCUGGGUCAAGACUGACGCUCAUGCACGAAAGCGUGGGGAGCAAACAGGAUUAGAUACCCUGGUAGUCCACGCCCUAAACGAUGUCUACUAGUUGUUGGGUCUUAAUUGACUUAGUAACGCAGCUAACGCGUGAAGUAGACCGCCUGGGGAGUACGGUCGCAAGAUUAAAACUCAAAGGAAUUGACGGGGACCCGCACAAGCGGUGGAUGAUGUGGAUUAAUUCGAUGCAACGCGAAAAACCUUACCUACCCUUGACAUGUACGGAAUCCCGGAGAGAUUUGGGAGUGCUCGAAAGAGAACCGUAACACAGGUGCUGCAUGGCUGUCGUCAGCUCGUGUCGUGAGAUGUUGGGUUAAGUCCCGCAACGAGCGCAACCCUUGUCAUUAGUUGCUACGAAAGAGCACUCUAAUGAGACUGCCGGUGACAAACCGGAGGAAGGUGGGGAUGACGUCAAGUCCUCAUGGCCCUUAUGGGUAGGGCUUCACACGUCAUACAAUGGUACAUACAGAGGGCCGCCAACCCGCGAGGGGGAGCUAAUCCCAGAAAGUGUAUCGUAGUCCGGAUUGUAGUCUGCAACUCGACUGCAUGAAGUUGGAAUCGCUAGUAAUCGCGGAUCAGCAUGUCGCGGUGAAUACGUUCCCGGGUCUUGUACACACCGCCCGUCACACCAUGGGAGCGGGUUUUACCAGAAGUAGGUAGCUUAACCGCAAGGAGGGCGCUUACCACGGUAGGAUUCGUGACUGGGGUGAAGUCGUAACAAGGUAGCCGUAUCGGAAGGUGCGGCUGGAUCACCUCCUUUCUA